rnacentral:rRNA from 1 species
GACGAACGCUGGCGGCGUGCUUAACACAUGCAAGUCGAACGGAGUGGCGAUCGGGUGCGUAACACGUGGGUGACCUGCCCUGCACUUCGGGAUAAGCCUGGGAAACUGGGUCUAAUACCGGAUAGUGUGGGAUGGGCGCGCGGCCUAUCAGCUUGUUGGUGGGGUAAUGGCCUACCAAGGCGGCGACGGGUAGCCGGCCUGGGAGGGUGGACGGCCACAUGGGUACUGAGAGACGGCCCAGACUCCUACAGGAGGCAGCAGUGGGGAAUAUGGCGCAAUGGGCGGAAGCCUAAUGCAGCGACGCCGCGGGGGGGAUGACGGCCUUCGGGUUGUAAACUCCUUUAACCAUCGACGCGGUAGAUGCAGAAGAAGCACCGGCUAACUACGUGCCAGCAGCCGCGGUAAUAC